rfam:Sugiyamaella lignohabitans strain CBS 10342 chromosome A, complete sequence.
UUCCACGUGGCCUAAUUGGCAAGGCGUCUGACUACGAAUCAGGAGAUUGCAGGUUCAAGCCCUGUCGUGGAAG